rnacentral:lncRNA from 10 species
GCCAGCUUGACAGCCUCCACUGUCAUCGUGCCCAAACUCCACCUCAACAGGAAUGGGAAUAAAAAAGCCAGCCCCUCAUAUUGGGCCUCUGCCCUUCCCCUCUGGACCCCAGGAUAUCAAGGAAAGCAGCAUCUGAAGAGAUUGGGUGCCCACAUAAAUGCCUCCCCACUUCUCCACACUACUUCUCCAGGAGCCACUUACUGGACACCAACUGGCUGACGGUGGGGGUCUCUGAGCAGAGAUGGGGUCUUGCUAUGUCGUCCAGGCUGGAGUGCAGUGGCUAUUCACAGCCAUGAUCAUUGUACACUGCAGCCUUGAACUCUUGGCCUCAAGCGAUCCUCCGCCUUAGCCUCCUGAGUAGCUGGGACUACAGGUGAGCACCACUACACCUGGCUUUAUCCCUUUAUGAUAGUCCAAUGUCCCUUAUCUAUGAAGUCUUGCCUAACCCCCAAGUUUGUCAAGAGCUCUUUUCUCUAGGGCCCCAAACCACCUUAUUUG